UAAAACAUGCAACUUAGGUAAAAAAAAACCGAAUAAAACCGAAACCGGUUUUUUCAAAUUCUAAAAACCCGGUUUUGGGUUUCCGUCAAAAAACCGGUUUUAACCGGUUUUUUCGGUUUCGGUUAAAACCGGUUUGCAUUCCCUAGUAUCUUCUUUGUUUUCGUUAUAUUAUGUAAUUUGUCUUGUUUUUGUUUACGAAUAGUUGAAUUUAAGCAUUAGGUAAUAAUAAUAAGAAAUAAAAAUUUAAAGUAACAUACAAUUAGUAAAAUACUUAUAAAAUAAAACAACUAAAAAAAAAAAUAUCCCUAAAAUCGCUCGGUAACCUCUGUUACCUACACAACGUACGUAAUCUGCGUACCUGCCUGUAAUAGUUAUUUGCAACCUCGCCUUUGCCCUCGCAACGCUCAAGAUUCCACUUCUCGAACCCUCUUGAUUGUUCAAAAACGAAUGAGAAAGAUGCAUUUUAUACACAUGUGAGAGAAAGUAAUCAGAUGCAAAUUUUGAGUUGUUUCCUUAUGUUAGCUGGUGGAAUUGACUUUUAAAUGAUGUUUUUGAAAUGAAAUGACGUUCAUUUGGAUUUGAUUUGGUUUAAUUUUUUUGGUAUUUCAUAGUUAGUAUUUUUCUCGCGUUGGUGUAGUGAAAAAUGUUGUGUUUCACACGGAGACAAAGUUGUUGUUUAACCGCUCGUGCUAAUAUUGAUACCCGAGCGAAAGAUUCCAAAAUUGAACCACGAGCGUAGCGAGUGGUUCGAGAAGUGGAAUCUCGAGCGUUGCGAGGGCAAAGGCGAGGUUGCAAAUAACUAUUUCAGGCAGGUACGCAGAUUACGUAAGUUGGGUAACAGAGGUUACCGAGCGAAUAAAACGAUGUCGUUCGUUAUAAAUUAAUUUUCAUGAAUUAAAUGAUACCACUGUUUUGAUUCUAGUUUACUUUUAAACACUCACUAGGAACCCCUACAACGAUAUAUCAUAUCAAAACACGCCGUGCGUAUAUAGUCUGGGAAUACCAGUGUUUACGUAUGGCUGCUUCUACAAACGUUGCAAAUGUUAUGAGAUUUUAGAUGAUUGCCGGCUUAGUAGGACCAACGAAUUCAAUCGAUCGAUCAAAAACCGCAAUGUAUUGCAAACCGCAUACGAUUAUCGGGGACGUUUGGAGAGGCCAAUAACCUUCAAGGUCUACAGACUAAAUAUAACUCUAGGUUAGCAUUGCUGGUACAGGCGGCGCCUAAAUAUCGCUGCCGUGAUUUAAGUAGUUCGGAAUUUGCCCGCGUGGAGACUUAAGAGGGAAGUAUACCACGUCCAUACAAAAAGAGAAAACGUUUUUGAUUUGUUAGUACCAUUAUUGACACAAUGAAAAACGAGGUUUAAUGUUUACAAAAUUUGCAAAAAAAGGCAACCUAUGAAUAUAGAAUAUAUUAUGCUGAAGCGAUCGACCUCAAAAUCAAGUUGAUUUGUUAAGAUUUAGUUGGUGGAAACCAUUUUCAACAAAUCACUUUGAUUUUGAUGUCGAUCGCUUCAGCUUAUUCUAGGUAUAGGUUUAGUUUUUAUUGUGUUGCAAAUUUUGAAAUAAAAGAAAAUCUAUAAACCUAGUUUUCAUAGUCACUAUCAUACUAAAAAUCAUGGAGAAUAGAAAAUAUGUAGAAGUGGAAAAACGUUUUUUAUUUUUUAUGGGCGAAUACAUGGUAUCUCUCUUAAGUUUGCAUAUUGUAUUUUUAUUAUCUCUAUUUGCCUCUGCCUAGUUUUGGCGUCGGAAUGACGCAUACAUACUAAUAAUAACAGACGCUCCAGUCGGCAGUUGAAAGUGUACGAAUAGACACGCGUGCUAAAUUCAGUGAAGUAUUUUGGAGAUUUUUUGUUAGGUAUUAGAUAUUAUGACAAUAUGCAGAAUGAACGUAGUCCAGUAUAUAACAAGUCCAAGAUUAAAAAUUGUUGCAGGUGUAUAAGUCCUAGGGUUGAACUUGUAGUUUGGGCUUCUAUCACUUUGGGUUCCACCGUAAUUAUGCUAAUUAUCAUGUAUUUGGGAAUAAUGCUUAUAGACGCAAUGUCAGGAGUAAGUCGCGUCUCUGUGUUUAAAGAUAUUAAAAUGUUGAUAUUCUCUUCGGCAUUACUAACCGAUAUCGUGUACAACUUGCUUGUCAUAGUGGCUACUCUUGGGAAAAAAGUGAAGCUGCUCAAGAUUUUUUUGUACCUCGGAGCCGUAAUGUGUGCCAUUUUGUGUUCCGUGACUGCAAUUGCCUACAAACCAUCACCUUAUUUGUUCCAUGAGCUAAGAAUUGUUUGGACAGUUUUCGUCUUAAUAAUAAUAGUUAUUCGAGGGUCCUGAUAAUGCGCGGCGUUAUGUUGGACCUACAAGAACAAAGCCAAGCCCAUGGAUACAUCGGCUUGGACAAGACCAUGGAAACGAGGACGGACUACGAACCUCCAAUUUAACGUAUCUGGAUGAAACAUCUAUUUGACUGUGUAUAGGGGUAUCUGGGAGUAUGUAAUAAGACACGCAGGAGUACUUGAUUAUGAACGUGUAUUCACACAAUCGCGACCGGGAGACAACUGAAGAGCGAGCUAUGCGUUGGACCUUUCGUAGGCGCGCGGAAUGCUAACAACGCACAUAACCGUCCUUAUACUGUGUACCUAAAUCUGAUGCUUCGUACAUCUGCUGCAUUCUUCUCCAGAAGUACGAUGGAUGGCGUUAUCCAACUGAUAGAAAGAAUACCGCGCGAUUGAAAGAAACUGACAAUCAUUAACUAACACGCAUUAAUUUAGACAUCUGCGACCAUCUUAUCCGUAUAGUACAGCUGUUCAUCCGAAUAUCCAACCGGUUAUAGUUAUUAAUAUGCCUUAUGAGGACUCUAGGUUUUUGACCACCAUUUAAGUAUUCGCAGUUUUUCGUGCGAUCUUACUAAUCUUACGGUAAAAUCCACACUAACCCUCAAAUAUAUUGCUUAUACAGUUUUUCCCUGGAUAAAGUGCACAAAUAAGAUUACGAAAAACGACCGGUCUGGCCUCGUGGGUAGUGCCUAUGAAGCCGAUGGUCCCGGGUUCAAAUCCUGGUAAGGGCAUUUAUUCGUGUGAUGAGCAUGGAUAUUUGUUCCUGAGUCAUGGGUGUUUUCUAUGUAUUUAAGUAUUUAUAAAUAUUUAUAUAUUAUAUAUAUCGUUGUCUAAGUACCCUCAACACAAGCCUUAUUGAGCUUACUGUGGGACUUAGUCAGUUUGUGUAAUAAUGUCCUAUAAUAUUUAUUUAUUUAUUUAUUUAAGAUGCACAAGGACUUAAUUAAAAAAAAAAAAACAUUUUUUUAUGAAUUGAAAUGUGAUGUGCUGCCUGCGAAAAACUCACAUAUCCUCUCGGCCUGAAGGGCUGGAGAGGUUUCCCGAGCUAAUCUCAGAUGUGGGAGAAAGAGGACUUACGGGUUGAGAAAGCAAACACGUACAUAUAAGUACAUUUACACAGUCGUGGCUUUAUGCUGUUUAUUAUAAACAAACCUAUCCUAUGUACUAUCUCAAGCUAUUCCCGGCCGGCCGGGUCUCUUCAGUGGCGACGACGCCUGUUGCUGAUUUAUGAUUGUACCCACCUGACGAAAACUGCCUUGCAGAUUUGAAUUUGUCAAUUGUAGUUUGUAAGCAUUAAUGUACCUUUGCAAAUUUAGAAUAAAAUUUAUUUUUAUUGUUGUGCAGUCUUCACAA